UCAACUAUCAAGUUCUCCAGAAUUCCCUACGCCCCAACAACACUCGUCUUCAAAGAAAUUCUCCAGAAUUGAGGGGCGUUGCCAGCUCUGCCGCCGCUGACUAUUUAAGCGCCAACAGCCAGCGGUAGAUGCCACUUUAAGAAGUGCUGUGCUGUGGUCCUGUUGCAGUAUACCGUACUGUGCAGUCUCCGUUCCAGGAAGUCCCGUGUGUGGCCGUGACAGAGUCCAUCAACUGCAGACUUGCCUUACAUUGACCGGGGACUCCAGCGCCGGGCACGCAACGAGGACGCACACACCGACCGGGCCGUUUUCCUCACCACCUAACAGCUCAGACAUGUUUGCAAAAGCUACUGCAAAAUUUGUAGAGGAAGUGGAUGGAAGUCUGACACCAGCAUCGAGUUGCAAUGACUCAAUUAAGUUGUCGUCAAUCGUGAUGGAGCAAAAGGGUCGCUGGCUGUGGCAGAAAACCAAAUAUGCUGCCACUACUUUUACCCUUAAUGAAAUAUUACAGGGUGACACCGUGGAACUUCCAGACGUCACAGUGACGGACUGCGCGCAGUACACUAAUCGUAGGAGUGACAAAAACCAGGCCAGCAUCGAUGCUAUCUUGCAUCCUGACCUUGCUAAACUGACCAUGGCACAUGACAGCACUUCAGAGCACAACAAUUCCUUUGGUGUCUUGAAUAAAGAAGAUCUAGAUUUGAAGAAGCUAUAUGAAGUUUUCAAAGACAGGCUCAUCGACAUGGAUCAUUGCCAGUUCAAGCAGCUUAAAAAAGAGAGCGGUUGGACUGUUUCCGGACUGGUGACGCAGAGGAUUGUGACGACUCAGCCAUCCACAAUUAGUCAGAGUGACCAACAGGCAAACACUAUAGGAGGCAAGAUUGGGCACGUGAUCACUAAGGUAUGUAGGAUA